GGGAAAUGGAGUGUGUGCCAGUGGAGGAUGAGAUUUCUUUUUUUUUUUUCUUUCUUUUUUUUUUCCAUGUUUGAGACAGAGUCUUACUCUGUUGCCAAGCUAGAGUGCAGUGGCACGAUCUCAGCUCACUGCAACCUCCACUUCCCAGGUUCAAGCAAUUCUCCUGCCUCAGCCUCCGGAGGAACUGGGACUACAGGCACGCCACCACGUCCAGCUCAUUUUUGUGUUUUUAGUAGAGACAGGGCUUCACCAUGUCGGCCAGGAGGAGGAUGGACUUUCUUAUCUCAUCUUACCUUUCCUGCUGCAUGGACUUUAAUUUUUGCAUCUGGCAAGAGUUUCUGCAAAUUCCCUGUGGUAAAGAUGGCAGGCUGCCCUGGAGAUCUUCUCUUCCUUGUGGGUUGGCUGUGGCUCGGAAGUGGCGGCUUCCUGGAGGCUGUGUGUUCAUUCUCAACUUCCUUGCAUCUAGCUAGAUGGAGAUUUUGGUAGUCUGGAAUGAAAUGCACAAGGUUUAUGUAACUGAUUAGUGACGGGAAGGCUGGAAAACAAAUCCUAAGCUACACGAAGGGUGCUGCUGGUGACACUGGUGAUGCAGAUUUGAUAAACAUUUUCCCAAAGGGUAGAAGCAACUGACUGCUGCAAAUCAGAAAACCAACUUUGUCCUGGAGGUUCCUCUUAAUUGAGGUGAAUUACUAUGUUGCCUUAAUUACUGUGCUUUUCCCUAGUACUUCUGGCAAAUAUUCCAUUGGCCUUGAUUCCGGCACUGUCCAUGGAAAUGUUGUAAAAUUACCGAUGACUGAAAGAGGGAGCAACACAUUACAGACACCCUUAAAGACUGGAUUCAUUUUUGUGAAGGUCCACUGCUAAUGAUUUCCCAGCAAACUGAGCUGUGUAAUUUAAGCAGAACGCAUCUUUUUUCACAAUAGACUCAUAGGAUAUGGAAGUAUACAAAUGCUCUCACAGCUCAAAGUGACAAAUUAAUAACCUGUAAAUUAAUUAUAGGUGUCUUUUGUAUCUCUCGCCCGAUUGUUUAAUGUUCCUUUCCUUUUUUAUUCAAAAAGCUCCCUUUCCAUCAAUUCUGCCAGGACUGGGAAUCUCAAAGCUUUCAGCUAUUUCUAAUCUUCAGUACUUGGAAUCACUAAGCAGUGAGGACUGUCAACAUAAAAAUUCGUUGUACCCACCAGCUGCAUUAACAUAUUUUUUUUCUUCCAGCAGCAUCUCCUGCUGCUGGUUUUCAUGUUAAUGCAUUUCCAGUGUCUUGCUUCAAAUGAAAAGUGUCCUGUUUCUCUCUGCCCUAGGUCCAUAUGAAUCUUUUCCAAUGAACAACUAUUAUCACUCUUGGAAAGUGUGAAAUUUGGUGAACGUAACAGAGUAAAUUAUUAUUUUUAAAAGUCAAUUUAGCUACCCUCUGUCUGUUUCACUUGGCUUAAAAAGAAUCAAAUUACCAGUGCCAAGCUCAGCAGUUGGAACUGUCUACCUACAGAAUCAGAUUAAAGAAACGAGAAAAUGAUAUGCAUUUUCUCCAAAGCAAAUGUUUGCCACUUGCUCUAUAACUUCUAAUGCCUUAUAAUUUAAUAAUAUAAUGAGCUAUGAAUCAGCAAAAGUUGCUUUAUUAUUUAACCUUGUUACUAUUUCCAAUCACAUAUUGCCUAGACUAUGUCAUGCCUUCCUGAUAUUGGCAGUAUAUAGCUUUUGUUAUAAAAG
rnacentral:lncRNA from 10 species